GACGAAGGGGGCUAGCGUUGUUCGGAAUUACUGGGCGUAAAGCGCGUGUAGGCGGUUGUUCAAGUCAGGUGUGAAAGCCUUGAGCUCAACUCAAGAAAUGCACUUGAUACUGGAUGACUAGAGGACCGGAGAGGAUAGUGGAAUUCCCAGUGUAGCGGUGAAAUACGUAGAGAUUGGGAAGAACACCAGUGGCGAAGGCGGCUAUCUGGACGGUUUCUGACGCUAAGACGCGAAAGCGUGGGGAGCAAACAGG
rnacentral:rRNA from 1 species